CUAUCUCUCCCUCGGCCUCGCCGAUUAUGACACUUAAGCAUAGGUGGACCAUUCAAGACCAUAGGAUCCAGCUACGCUAAGUGGAAUAGUCGGCGAGCGCCUGGAGCAUUU
rnacentral:pre_miRNA from 13 species